rnacentral:tRNA from 1 species
GCGCGGUAGCUCAGUCAGGCAGAGCGCGGAGGGAGACCUCCGGGGGCGCGGGUUCAAAUCCCGUCCGCGACG